rnacentral:rRNA from 1 species
CGAACGCUGGCGGCGUGCUUUAUACAUGCAAGUCGAACGAUGAAGUUCCUUCGGGAAUGGAUUAGUGGCGAACGGGUGAGGAACACGUGAGGAAUCUGCCCAUCAUUUUGGGAUAACACCGGGAAACCGGUGCUAAUACCGAAUACUCCGUCUUGGCGGCAUCGCCGAGCCGGGAAAGAAUUUCGAUGAUGGAUGAUCUCGCGGCCUAUCAGCUAGUUGGUGAGGUAACGGCUCACCAAGGCAACGACGGGUAGCCGGCCUGAGAGGGCGACCGGCCACACUGGGACUGAGACACGGCCCAGACUCCUACGGGAGGCAGCAGUAGGGAAUAUUGGGCAAUGGGCGCAAGCCUGACCCAGCGACGCCGCGUGAGGGAUGAAGGUCUUCGGAUUGUAAACCUCUUUCAGUAGGGAAGAAGCGAAAGUGACGGUACCUAAAGAAGAAGCACCGGCUAACUAUGCGCCAGCA